UACCUGAAAAACUGCCAUUAUUCCUUUAUUUUAUCAUUUCUUUCCUUUAAAAUGUGUGGUCAGGAAAAGUGAAGGCUAUACCCACAUCAGCGGCACCACAGCGAUCACCGCGGGCACGUUUUACGAGUCCAACUGCUCAUAUUACAGCUGUUGCCCUGAUAACGGAAAAGUACAUGUGUUAACAGUACAGUCAGUCCCCAGAGCGUUCAGUCGGACUAACCCGGUCAACAAAUGUCAACUACCUGAAACGGACAGUAAUAAAAGAAAGAUAUGCACUGGCUUAAUAACAGAAAAGGAGAUAUUUGUGUGCACCUGUGAAUGCUCGUGAGCGUGUUCCGGGUAUUGACAUGCACAGCAUGGUAAUACGACUGACGUAUUUUCUGACUACCUGUGUUGUCGUCAGGAUGACGAUGAAUGACUCACCCAGAACCCCGGAUAUCUGUAACAACAGUUGCUUGUGGUGUGAUGGCUCUUGGUUGUUACACAGCCUGCCAUGAAGAAUUUGUACCUCUGCUUAUAAGAAAAUGGUGCAGACUUGGACACUUGAUUGUUGCAGUCAUUUAACAAGAAAAAAAUAAGAAAAUGGCCAAUCUAAGUCCUUUUUACAGUCAUUACAAGCCUCAGUUAAGCUGGACUACAGACAAGAUGGAUGCAUCUCUCUUCUCUACCCCGUCAUCUGGUGGAUUUUUGAAUACUGCUCCAUCUUUGGAUUCUGUUUUGUACAGUAAUUGGUCAGUGUUUGGCGAUGAUAUGAAUGUACCCAUACCAGUGCAGGAUAAUGUGAAA